rnacentral:rRNA from 1 species
CUCAUGGUUUCACGGUAUUGCAAUGAGAACAAUUUAAAACCCUUAGCGAGAAUCAAGUGGAGGACAAGUCUGGUGCCAGCACCCGCGGUAAUUCCAGCUCCACUAGCGUAUAUUAAAGUUGUUGCAGUUAAAAAGCUCGUAGUUGAACCUCUGUCUGGGGCUAGUUUUGGCUUUGGUCAGGCUAGUUCUAGGCAUCCGCCUACAAGACUUAGAGGGUAUUCAGUUGUUCACUAGGAGGAGUAGGCAUUUUACUUUGAAAAAAUUAGAGUGUUUAAGGCAGGCAAUCGCCCGCAUAUAUUAGCAUGGAAUAAUAGAAUAGGACACUUUUCCAUUUCGUUGGUUAUUGGAAUCGUGUAAUGAUUAAUAGGGACAGUUGUGGGCAUUUGUAUUUAAUUGUCAGAGGUGAAAUUCUUGGAUUUAUUAAAGACAAACUAACGCGAAAGCAUUUGCCAAGGAUGUUUUCAUUAAUCAAGAACGAAAGUUAGGGGAUCAAAGACGAUCAGAUACCGUCCUAGUCUUAACUAUAAACUAUUCCGACUCAAUGUUUGACUGGCUUAUAUAACCAGUUGAGCGUUGUAUGAGAAAUCAAAGUCUUUAGGUUCUGGGGGGAGUAUGGUUGCAAAGCUGAAACUUAAAGGAAUUGACGGAAGAGCACAACCAGGAGUGGAUUCUGCGGCUUAAUUUGACUCAACACGGGGAAACUUACCAGGUUAAAACAAUAGUGGGAUUGACAGUUUGAGAGCGCUUUCUUGAUUGGUUGGGUGGUGGUGCAUGGCCGUUCUUAGUUGGUGGAGUGAUUUGUCUGCUUAAUUGCGUUAACGAACGAGACCUUAACCUGCUUACUAGACUGGCGAUCAUCAAUCGUUAGCUCUUCUUAGAGGGACUUUGGUUGUUUUAACUCCAAGGAAGUUUGAGGCAAUAACAGGUCUGUGAUGCCCUUAGAUAUCCUGGGCCGCACGCGUCAUACAAUGACUAGUUCAGAAAGUUUUCUCCUGACCCGAAAGGGGAUGGGUAAUCUUGAUAAUACUAGUCGUGUUAGGGAUCGAUCUUUGCAAUUACAGAUCUUGAACGAGGAAUUCCUAGUAAGUGCGGUUCAUCAGACCGUACUGAUUACGUCCCUGCUCUUUGUACACACCGCCCGUCGCUUCUACCGAGUGGGUGGUCCGGUGAGAUAAUUGAACUUCGCAGGUAACUGAGAGGAAAGAUUAUCAAACCUAUCCACCU